rnacentral:rRNA from 1 species
UACGGGGGGAGCAAGCGUUGUUCGGAUUUACUGGGCGUAAAGGGCGCGUAGGCGGCCACCGCAAGUCAAUUGUGAAAUCUCCGGGCUUAACUCGGAAAGGUCAACUGAUACUGCGGGGCUAGAGUGCGGAAGGGGCAACUGGAAUUCUCGGUGUAGCGGUGAAAUGCGUAGAUAUCGAGAGGAACACCUGCGGCGAAGGCGGGUAGCUGGGCCGACACUGACGCUGAUGCGCGAAAGCCAGGGGAGCGAACGGG